rnacentral:rRNA from 1 species
GACGAACGCUGGCGGCGUGCCUAAUACAUGCAAGUUGAGCGCUGAAGGUUGGUACUUGUACCAACUGGAUGAGCAGCGAACGGGUGAGUAACGCGUGGGGAAUCUGCCUUUGAGCGGGGGACAACAUUUGGAAACGAAUGCUAAUACCGCAUAAAAACUUUAAACACAAGUUUUAAGUUUGAAAGAUGCAAUUGCAUCACUCAAAGAUGAUCCCGCGUUGUAUUAGCUAGUUGGUGAGGUAAAGGCUCACCAAGGCGAUGAUACAUAGCCGACCUGAGAGGGUGAUCGGCCAAAUUGGGACUGAGACACGGCCCAAACUCCUACGGGAGGCAGCAGUAGGGAAUCUUCGGCAAUGGACGAAAGUCUGACCGAGCAACGCCGCGUGAGGGAAGAAGGGUUUCGGAUCGUAAAACUCUGUUGGUAGAGAAGAACGUUGGUGAGAGUGGAAAGCUCAUCAAGUGACGGUAACUACCCAGAAAGGGACGGCUAACUACGUG